GACGAACGCUGGCGGCGUGCUUAACACAUGCAAGUCGAACGGUGAAGCUCCAGCUUGCUGGAGUGGAUCAGUGGCGAACGGGUGAGUAACACGUGAGCAACCUGCCCCUGACUCUGGAAUAAGCGCUGGAAACGGCGUCUAAUACUGGAUACGAGAAGGGCCCGCAUGGGCACUUUCUGGAAAGUUUUUCGGUUGGGGAUGGGCUCGCGGCCUAUCAGCUUGUUGGUGAGGUAAUGGCUCACCAAGGCGACGACGGGUAGCCGGCCUGAGAGGGCGACCGGCCACACUGGGACUGAGGCAAGGCCCAGGCGCCUACGGGAGGCAGCAGGUGGGAAUAUUGGCCAAUGGGCCGAAGCCUGAUGCAGCGACGCCGGGUGAGGGAUGACGGCCUUCGGGUUGUAAACCUCUUUCAGCAGGGAAGAAGCGAAAGUGACGGUACCUGCAGAAGAAGCACCGGCUAACUACGUG
rnacentral:rRNA from 1 species